rnacentral:rRNA from 1 species
GAUGAACGCUGGCGGCGUGCCUAAUGCAUGCAAGUCGAGCGAAUGGAUUAAGAGCUUGCUCUUAUGAAGUUAGCGGCGGACGGGUGAGUAACACGUGGGUAACCUGCCCAUAAGACUGGGAUAACUCCGGGAAACCGGGGCUAAUACCGGAUAACAUUUUGAACCGCAUGGUUCGAAAUUGAAAGGCGGCUUCGGCUGUCACUUAUGGAUGGACCCGCGUCGCAUUAGCUAGUUGGUGAGGUAACGGCUCACCAAGGCAACGAUGCGUAGCCGAACGGAGAGGGUGGUCGGACACACUUGGAGUGAGACACGGCCCAGACUCCUACGGGAGGCAGCAGUAGGGUAUCUUCCGCAAUGGACGAAAGUCUGACGGAGCAACGCCGCGUGAGUGAUGAAGGCUUUCGGGUCGUAAAACUCUGUUGUUAGGGAAGAACAAGUGCUAGUUGAAUAAGCUGGCACCUUGACGGUACCUAACCAGAAAGCCACGGCUAACUACGUGCCAGCCGCCGCAGUAA